rnacentral:tRNA from 1 species
UUCUAUAGUUGAAUUACAACGAUGAUUUUUCAUGUCAUUAGUCGCAGUUAAAUGCUGUGUGGAAAUA